rnacentral:rRNA from 1 species
GACGAACGCUGGCGGCGUGCCUAAUACAUGCAAGUCGAACGCAGUGGGGACGGGUGAGUAACACGUGGGUAACCUCCCAUCAGAGGGGAUAACACUUGGAAACAGGUGCUAAACCGCUACUGAUGGAUGGACCCGCGGUGCAUUAGCUAGUUGGUGAGGUAACGGCUCACCAAGGCCACGAUGCAUAGCGGGUCUGAGCGGCUGACCAGCCACACUGGGACUGAGACACGGCCCAGAUCCCGACGGGAGGCAGCAGUGGGGAAUCUGCGACAAUGGACAGAAGUAUGAGCGAGUAACGCCGCGUGGGUGAAGAAGGUUGUCGGUGCGUAAAGCUCUGUUGUUAGAGAGGCGGUAUCUGAACAAAAAGCCACGGCUAACUACGUGCCAGCAGCCGCGGUAAUUC